AAGACUGUACUCGUACAGGAUCAUGUCUAUAGUAGUUACUUACACUUUGCUUCAGCAAAUGUAGGCAACCAACCAAGCUAGAAUGAUUCAGCAUGCACUCUGAUCUAUAAUUAGGAAUAUGAAUCCAUUCUAUUUCAUGGAAUGCGAUUCGCGAUGCCCAUCCAUAUUUGUUGUGCCCUAAUAUUCUUUAUGGAUAUUGGAGCCUUCAAAUAUGUGAAGAUUUGAGUGUGUCUGACUAGCU
rnacentral:snoRNA from 11 species